GACGAACGCUGGCGGCGUGCUUAACACAUGCAAGUCGAGCGAAUGGAUUAAGAGCUUGCUCUUAUGAAGUUAGCGGCGGACGGGUGAGUAACACGUGGGUAACCUGCCCAUAAGACUGGGAUAACUCCGGGAAACCGGGGCUAAUACCGGAUAAUAUUUUGAACUGCAUGGUUCAAAAUUGAAAGGCGGCUUCGGCUGUCACUUAUGGAUGGACCCGCGUCGCAUUAGCUAGUUGGUGAGGUAACGGCUCACCAAGGCAACGAUGCGUAGCCGACCUGAGAGGGGGAUCGGCCACACUGGGACUGAGACACGGCCCAGACUCCUACGGGAGGCAGCAGCAGGGAAUCUUCCGCAAUGGACGAAAGUCUGACGGAGCAACGCCGCGUGAGUGAUGAAGGCUUUCGGGUCGUAAAACUCUGUUGUUAGGGAAGAACAAGUGCUAGUUGAAUAAGCUGGCACCUUGACGGUACCUAACCAGAAAGCCACGGCUAACUACGUGCCAGCAGCCGCCGUAA
rnacentral:rRNA from 1 species